AUAUUAUGUCGCAGGGGAGAUGAUACCAUGAUCACUAAGGUGGUUCUCCCAGGGCGAGGCUCAUGCAUUGCACUACGGGUGUGCUGACCCCUUGCAAUUUCCCCAAAUGCAGGAAACUCAACUGCAUAAUUUGUGGUAGUGGAGGACUGCAUUUGCGCUCUCCCCUG
rnacentral:snRNA from 1 species